rnacentral:rRNA from 1 species
CGUAUACCAAAGUUGUUGCAGUUAAAACGCUCGUAGUCGGAUUUUGGCAGUUCCGGGAGUGUGCGCGUCGUGCGCACGCUUUGCGGGGACUGCUUUUGUGGUAUUGCGUGGGAUGAAGCAUUUUAAUUAAUGAGCGUCCCUUCGCAACCACUUUUUACUGUGAGAAAAUCAGAGUGCUCAAAGCAGGCAUUUGCCGUGAAUGUAUUAGCAUGGAACAAUAGAAUAGGACUUAGUUCUAUUUUGUUGGUUUGUUGGGACUGAGUAAUGAUUAAGAGGGACAGUUGGGGGUAUUUGUAUUUCGGCGCUAGAGGUGAAAUUCUUAGAUUGCCGAAAGACAAACUGCUGCGAAAGCGUCUACCAAGGAUGUUUUCAUUGAUCAAGAACGAAAGUAAGGGGAUCGAAGACGAUCAGAUACCGUCGUAGUCUUUACUAUAAACGAUGAGGACUGGGGAUCGGGCGAGGCAUUACGAUGACCCGCCCGGCACCCUUCGAGAAAUCAAAGUGUUUGCUUUCUGGGGGGAGUAUGGUCGCAAGUCUGAAACUUAAAGGAAUUGACGGAAGGGCAUCACCGGGUGUGGAGCCUGCGGCUUAAUUUGACUCAACACGGGAAAACUUACCAGGUCAGGACAUAGUGAGGAUUGACAGAUUGAGAGCUCUUUCUUGAUUCUAUGGUUGGUGGUGCAUGGCCGUUCUUAGUUGGUGGAGUGAUUUGUCUGGUUAAUUCCGUUAACGAGCGAGACCUGGGCGUGCUAACUAGGGGGUCUUACCUUUUUGGUAG